GAUGAAGAACGUAGCGAAAUGCGAUAAGUAGUGUGAAUUGCAGAAUUCAGUGAAUCAUCGAAUCUUUGAACGCACAUUGCGCCCGCUAGUAUUCUGGCGGGCAUGCCUGUCUGAGCGUCAUUUCAACCCUCGCCCCCGGCUUUUGCUGGGAGCGGUGUUGGGGAUCGGCCGCCCGUCACUGGGAGGCCGGCCCCGAAAUAGAGUGGCGACCACGCCGUGUGCUCCUCUGCGUAGUAGUAAAUCACCUCGCAGGCGGACAGCGGUGCGGCCUGCCGUAAAACCCCCAACUCUUUCUGGUUGACCUCAGAUCAGGUAGGAAUACCCGCUGAACUUAAGCAUAUCAAUAAGCGGAGGA
rnacentral:misc_RNA from 1 species